rnacentral:rRNA from 1 species
AGUGAACGCUGGCGGUAGGCCUAACACAUGCAAGUCGAACGGCAGCACAGGAGAGCUUGCUCUCUGGGUGGCGAGUGGCGGACGGGUGAGGAAUACAUCGGAAUCUACUUUUUCGUGGGGGAUAACGUAGGGAAACUUACGCUAAUACCGCAUACGACCUACGGGUGACAGCAGGGGAUCUUCGGACCUUGCGCGAUUGAAUGAGCCGAUGUCGGAUUAGCUAGUUGGCGGGGUAAAGGCCCACCAAGGCGACGAUCCGUAGCUGGUCUGAGGGGAUGGUCAGCCACACUGGAACUGAGACACGGUCCAGACCCCUACGGGAGGCAGAAGAGGGGAAUAUUGGACAAUGGGAGGAAGCCUGAUCCAGCCAUACCGCGUGGGUGAAGAAGGCCUUCGGGUUGUAAAGCCCUUUUGUUGGGAAAGAAAUCCAGCUGGUUAAUACCCGGUUGGGAUGACGGUACCCAAAGAAUAAGCACCGGCUAACUUCGUGCCAGCCGCCGCAGUAA